CCCCUUAAUGAUUUAGAUGCACUAUUGUAAAGUGGCUGUUCCACUGGAUGUCAGAAGGUGAAUUCACCAAUUUGUAAGUCGCUCUGGAUAAGAGCGUCUGCUAAAUGACUUAAAUGUAAAUGUUAAAUGUCAUUCCAUCCUUUCACUAAAUGGUAGUAACACUCUGAAGUCAUUCCAUCCUUUCACUAAAUGGUAGUAACACUAAGUCAUUCCUUCCUUUCACUAAAUGGUAGUAACACUAAGUCAUUCCAUCCUUUCACUAAAUGGUAGUAACACUAAGUCAUUCCUUCCUUUCACUAAAUGGUAGUAACACUAAGUCAUUCCAUCCUUUCACUAAAUGGUAGUAACACUAAGUAAUUCCAUCCUUUCACUAAAUGGUAGUAACACUAAGUCAUUCCAUCCUUUCACUAAAUGGUAGUAACACUAAGUCAUUCCUUCCUUUCACUAAAUGGUAGUAACACUAAGUCAUUCCAUCCUUUCACUAAAUGGUAGUAACACUAAGUCAUUCCAUCCUUUCACUAAAUGGUAGUAACACUAAGUCAUUCCUUCCUUUCACUAAAUGGUAGUAACACUAAGUCAUUCCAUCCUUUCACUAAAUGGUAGUAACACUAAGUCAUUCCUUCCUUUCACUAAAUGGUAGUAACACUAAGUCAUUCCAUCCUUUCACUAAAUGGUAGUAACACUAAGUCAUUCCAUCCUUUCACUAAAUGGUAGUAACACUAAGUCAUUCCAUCCUUUCACUAAAUGGUAGUAAGUCAGUGACACACACACUGGACACAACAACUAAAGCUCUAAAGUAACUUUUUAUUGGCAGAUGCCUCAUUUAAAUGUUUUGGAUUUUGAUGAAAGGAAAUCCCAUAAAGCCUUCUGGCCAGGACUUUAUUAUGGCAUCUUCUGAUUGGGUGUCUCAGAUCAGGACUUUGUUAUGACAUCUUCUGAUUGGGUGUCUCAGGUCAGGUCUGAGCCAUGAUGAGAAUGUGUCUCUGUCUAUUUCCAGCCCUGCCAUUUCUACCUGUCCUGAUCUAGUGUUUGACCCCUGACCUCCUCACACCGUCUCACUGUCCAUGUCUGCUUUUAGCUCCCACCUCUACUUCACUGUGUUAUAAUGGACCUUAUGCUUGUUAUGUCACCUCUGUAACCAGGUAUCAAACAUCCUGACCUUUCUGACCCUGUCCCAUGGUCCUACAUCACUGUGUUAUAAUGGACCUUAUGCUUGUUAUGUCACCUCUGUAACCAGGUAUCAAACAUACUGACCUUUCUGACCCUGUCCCAUGGUCCUACAUCACUGUGUUAUAAUGGACCUUAUGCUUGUUAUGUCACCUCUGUAACCAGGUAUCAAACAUACUGACCUUUCUGACCCUGUCCCAUGGCCCUACUUUCUAGAACUGAACAUUUAAAGUCCUCUGAGUUUUGUUUACUGUCCAUUUACUCAUUUACUAUUUGUAUUGUUGUGUAUUGGAGUUGUGCCGCAGAGCAUCAUGGGGGUUUGUAUGUGUUGAGAUGAUCCCGUUCCAGAUAAAUGGUUGAACUGA